GAUGAAGAACGUAGCGAAAUGCGAUACGUAAUGUGAAUUGCAGAAUUCAGUGAAUCAUCGAGUCUUUGAACGCACAUUGCGCCCGCUGGUAUUCCGGCGGGCAUGCCUGUUCGAGCGUCAUUUCAACCCUCAAGCUCUCCGGAGUUUGGUGUUGGGGCGCCUGGGGCUUUUCGACCUCAGGGCCCUCAAGUCCAUCGGCGGGACCGCCAGGACACUGAGCGCAGUAGUAUUAUUUCGCUCGGUAGGAUCUUCCACGGCGGGUCGAUCUGGCCGCUAAACCCCCCAAUUCUCACCAAAGGUUGACCUCGGAUCAGGUAGGAAUACCCGCUGAACUUAAGCAUAUCAAUAAGCGGAGGA
rnacentral:misc_RNA from 1 species